CUUCAGGUUGAGGAAAUGCCGAUAACACGCACAAUACAUCCAUUCCGUACCUACGAAAAUCUGGGCCCAGCUGCUUCUUCACCUUGUUGAAAUAAGUUUUAGCCCUAGGAAAAAGAGGAGAAGUGUUAAUUGAACAGCAUAUUCUUCCAGUUCAACCUUCUUUAAAGUUUUUUUGCUUCAUUAUCUAUGCUGGGUACUUUUUCGGAGGGAAUACAAGAACAUGGUAUAACAGAAAGCGUAAGUAACAAUGAAAUUAUUUCUCUGGUUCCAAACCCUUUUGUCUUUCAGUGUAAGAAUUGUCGCGUUAUAGUAGGCGAUUCUUUUCAGUGGGUCACUAAUAACGAAAAACUAAAUUUAAUUACUCUUCAAGCUCUUACUGAAAUUGUGGAAGUUUCCGCUAUACUUAUGAUCUCUAAAAGCUUAGAAGACCCUGGAAGUGCCUUCUAUGUUUUAAGCUGUAAGAGUUGCAAAACAGUCCUUGGAAGAAAAUACAUCACAACUCUUUGUAAACUUGAUUCACUGAGAGGGUUGUAUAGUUUGGACGCGUCCAGUAUCGAAAGAAGUAAUUGUCGAGCUAUCAACUCGGCACUAGUCUACAGGACGGUGAGCGGCCGAGUCUGGAAAACCUGCCUACACUCAGUAGCCUGCACUUGCAACAAUUAAAAAUGGAACAAGUAAUACUCAGCUUUAACGAGCGUAUUACAGAUCUUGAGGAAGACUUGGCUAUGCUGGAAGACUUGGCCUUUUAAGAAACUGUUAAUAUUGGCCUUUGUGGUUGAUUAAUUAAAGGAAGUUCCGCAAUUUACGUUGGAAGGUAAUACUUCUUCACGACGACUCUGGUGCAGUCUGUAGAGCAAUAUUAUAAAGAUCUAUAAUAAACUUUCCUUUCGGAAAUUAAGGAGGGCCUCCUUCCCUGUUAUGGCAGGCUUAACACAUAUACAGGACAAAGUCGCGCUUAUUUCGUCCCCUGGUAGUACGGG